rnacentral:rRNA from 1 species
GAUGAACGCUGGCGGCGUGCCUAAUACAUGCAAGUCGAGCGAACAGACGAGGAGCUUGCUCCUCUGACGUUAGCGGCGGACGGGUGAGUAACACGUGAAUAACCUACCUAUAAGACUGGGAUAACUUCGGGAAACCGGAGCUAAUACCGGAUAAUAUAUUGAACCGCAUGGUUCAAUAGUGAAAGACGGUUUUGCUGUCACUUAUAGAUGGAUCCGCGCCGCAUUAGCUAGUUGGUAAGGUAACGGCUUACCAAGGCAACGAUGCGUAGCCGACCUGAGAGGGUGAUCGGCCACACUGGAACUGAGACACGGUCCAGACUCCUACGGGAGGCAGCAGUAGGGAAUCUUCCGCAAUGGGCGAAAGCCUGACGGAGCAACGCCGCGUGAGUGAUGAAGGUCUUCGGAUCGUAAAACUCUGUUAUUAGGGAAGAACAAAUGUGUAAGUAACUAUGCACGUCCUGACGGUACCUAAUCAGAAAGCCACGGCUAACUACGUG